rnacentral:lncRNA from 1 species
CUUUCAUCUUUCAUUCCUUCAGCGCGCGCCAAGAUCUUUUGGGCCGUUCGUUGUUUCUUUUUUGGACUUGGCCCAACUAUCUCUCGAUUCGAUUUUGCGCCUUCGAUAGCCUCCUGGUAAAACCAAAACUAUACGCAUCCUCUACAGCUCUCGAAACGCUUUUCUGCUUCGACAUAGGGAGUUCUCGACACCAACUUUGAAAGUUUUAUUUUGAUACUAUAACCUCCAAAAUAAAUAUUGGACCCACCAAUUAUAUUU